rnacentral:rRNA from 1 species
ACGCUGGCGGCAUGCUUUACACAUGCAAGUCGGACGGCAGCACAGAGAAGCUUGCUUCUUGGGUGGCGAGUGGCGAACGGGUGAGUAAUAUAUCGGAACGUACCGAGUAAUGGGGGAUAACUAAUCGAAAGAUUAGCUAAUACCGCAUAUUCUCUGAGGAGGAAAGCAGGGGACCUUCGGGCCUUGCGUUAUUCGGGCGGCCGAUAUCUGAUUAGCUAGUUGGUGGGGUAAAGGCCUACCAAGGCGACGAUCAGUAGCGGGUCUGAGAGGAUGAUCCGCCACACUGGGACUGAGACACGGCCCAGACUCCUACGGGAGGCAGCAGUGGGGAAUUUUGGACAAUGGGCGCAAGCCUGAUCCAGCCAUGCCGCGUGUCUGAAGAAGGCCUUCGGGUUGUAAAGGACUUUUGUCAGGGAAGAAAAGGCUGUUGCUAAUACCGACAGCUGAUGACGGUACCUGAAGAAUAAGCACCGGCUAACUACGUGCCAGCAGCCGCGGUAAUACGUAGGGUGCGAGCGUUAAUCGGUAUUACUGGGCGUAAAGCGAGCGCAGACGGUUACUUAAGCAGGAUGUGAAAUCCCCGGGCUCAACCUGGGAACUGCGUUCUGAACUGGGUGACUAGAGUGUGUCAGAGGGAGGUAGAAUUCCACGUGUAGCAGUGAAAUGCGUAGAGAUGUGGAGGAAUACCGAUGGCGAAGGCAGCCUCCUGGGAUAACACUGACGUUCAUGCUCGAAAGCGUGGGUAGCAAACAGGAUUAGAUACCCUGGUAGUCCACGCCCUAAACGAUGUCAAUUAGCUGUUGGGCAACUUGAUUGCUUAGUAGCGUAGCUAACGCGUGAAAUUGACCGCCUGGGGAGUACGGUCGCAAGAUUAAAACUCAAAGGAAUUGACGGGGACCCGCACAAGCGGUGGAUGAUGU